rnacentral:rRNA from 1 species
AUGGCUCAGGACAGAUCAGGUUCUAUCACAAUGGAAAUCCUGUCGAAGCUUCAGGGUAAUGACCAUGAACUACCAAGGGCAGAACUUGCACUAAUGGCGGCCUGGUACAUUUGGUGGCAGCGACGGCAGAUUGCCAAAGGUAUUGAGGUCCAAGAUCCGUCGAGAACGGCUCUAGCAAUUAGAGUUCUGACAACGAAUUACUUGCGAUCAGUGUCUCCCAAGGGCACAUCAAGGACAGUUGAUCAUAUUUGGAAGAAGCCAAACCGGGGGAUAGUGAAGAUUAAUGUUGAUGCUGCGUUCCAAUAUGAAACACUCUCGGGAGCGAGUGGGGCUGUGGCCCGGGAUGAUCGAGGAGAUUUUAUAGCAGCAGCAAAUUGGUUCUUUCCAGUAGUAACAGGGGUGGACAGCGCUGAACUAAUGGCGAUCAGGAAUGGUCUCUACCUAGCAGCCAAUAUUGGGUGCAGCACUGUUGUUCUGGAGUCAGAUUCUUCAUUUGUGGUGGACUCAAUGAACCAAAUCUACGAUUAUAUGGGGCCGGAUAUAGCUAUCAUCAUGGAGUAUUUUUUCGAGAUGUGGAAAAGCCUCCGCGUCUCACCGCAGAUCCCCAUACAUCCAUCGCAGAAAAACAGUACAGUAAUCCCCACUAUACAUCCAUCCGAUCCCAUCCUUCUGUCCCCAAGGCCCAAACCUCGGGCCGUCUUCCUCCUCCUCCUCAUCUUCUUCUACAGGAGCGGCGGGCGGAUCUACAGUCUCCGGAGCUCCGGGGGAGGAAGGAAGGAAAAUAUCCGCGAAAGAAAGAGACUGAUGAGCCAAAGCGUGACGACGGCACGCCUCCGCUCACCUAACCAGACCCCUCCUUAA